AGAGUUUGAUCCUGGCUCAGGAUGAACGCUGGCGGCGUGCUUAACACAUGCAAGUCGAACGAUCCUUCGGGAUAGUGGCGGACGGGUGAGUAACGCGUGGGAAUCUGCCCUUAGGAGGGGGAUAACGGCUGGAAACGGCCGCUAAUACCCCAUAUGCCGAGAGGUGAAACGAAUUUCGCCUGAGGAUGAGCCCGCGUCUGAUUAGCUAGUUGGUGGGGUAAAGGCCUACCAAGGCGACGAUCAGUAGCUGGUCUGAGAGGAUGAUCAGCCACACUGGGACUGAGACACGGCCCAGACUCCUACGGGAGGCAGCAGUGGGGAAUUUUCCGCAAUGGGCGAAAGCCUGACGGAGCAACGCCGCGUGAGGGAUGAAGGCCUCUGGGCUGUAAACCUCUUUUCUCAAGGAAGAAGAACUGACGGUACUUGAGGAAUAAGCCACGGCUAAUUCCGUGCCAGCAGCCGCGGUAAUACGGGAGUGGCAAGCGUUAUCCGGAAUUAUUGGGCGUAAAGCGUCCGCAGGCGGCCUUGUAAGUCUGUUGUUAAAGCGUGGAGCUCAACUCCAUUUAAGCAAUGGAAACUACAAGGCUGGAGUGUGGUAGGGGCAGAGGGAAUUCCCGGUGUAGCGGUGAAAUGCGUAGAUAUCGGGAAGAACACCAGUGGCGAAGGCGCUCUGCUGGGCCAUAACUGACGCUCAUGGACGAAAGCCAGGGGAGCGAAAGGGAUUAGAUACCCCUGUAGUCCUGGCCGUAAACGAUGAACACUAGGUGUCGGGGGAAUCGACCCCCUCGGUGUCGUAGCCAACGCGUUAAGUGUUCCGCCUGGGGAGUACGCACGCAAGUGUGAAACUCAAAGGAAUUGACGGGGGCCCGCACAAGCGGUGGAGUAUGUGGUUUAAUUCGAUGCAACGCGAAGAACCUUACCAGGGUUUGACAUCCUGCGAAUCCCUUGGAAACGAGGGAGUGCCUUCGGGAGCGCAGUGACAGGUGGUGCAUGGCUGUCGUCAGCUCGUGUCGUGAGAUGUUGGGUUAAGUCCCGCAACGAGCGCAACCCACGUCUUUAGUUGCCAGCAUUCAGUUGGGCACUCUAGAGAGACCGCCGGUGAUAAACCGGAGGAAGGUGUGGAUGACGUCAAGUCAUCAUGCCCCUUACAUCCUGGGCUACACACGUACUACAAUGCUACGGACAAAGGGCAGCAAGCUCGCGAGAGUUAGCUAAUCCCAUAAACCGUGGCUCAGUUCAGAUCGUAGGCUGCAACUCGCCUACGUGAAGGAGGAAUCGCUAGUAAUCGCAGGUCAGCAUACUGCGGUGAAUACGUUCCCGGGCCUUGUACACACCGCCCGUCACACCAUGGAAGUUGGCCAUGCCCGAAGUCGUUACUCCAACCCUUGUGGAGGAGGACGCCGAAGGU
rnacentral:rRNA from 1 species